rnacentral:rRNA from 1 species
UACGGAGGAGGCAAGCGUUAUCCGGAAUUAUUGGGCGUAAAGCGUCCGUAGGUGGGUGAGUAAGUCUGCUGUUAAAGAGUGAGGCUUAACCUCAUAAGGGCAGUGGAAACUCUUCGUCUAGAGUGCGACAGGGGCAAGGGGAAUUCCUAGUGUAGCGGUGAAAUGCGUAGAGAUUAGGAAGAACACCGGUGGCGAAAGCGCCUUGCUGGGUCUGCACUGACACUGAGGGACGAAAGCUAGGGGAGCGAAAGGG